rnacentral:rRNA from 1 species
CCUACGGGUGGCAGCAGUGGGGAAUAUUGCGCAAUGGGCGAAAGCCUGACGCAGCGACGCCGCGUGAGGGAUGAAGGUCUUCGGAUCGUAAACCUCUGUCAGCAGGGAAGAACGGUCACUGUGCUAAUCAGCAGUGAAUUGACGGUACCUGCAAAGGAAGCACCGUCUAACUCGGGGCCAGCAGCCGCGGUAAUACGGAGGGUGCGAGCGUUAAUCGGAAUUACUGGGCGUAAGGCGCGCGUAGGCGGUAUGUCAAGUCAAGGGGGAAAUCCCCGCGCUCAACGGGGGAACUGCCUUUGAAACUGGCCAACUGGAGUGUGUUGGAGGAUAGUGGAAUUCCAGGUGUAGGAGUGAAAUCCGUAGAUAUCUGGAGGAACAUCAGUGGCGAAGGCGACUAUCUGGCACAUAACUGACGCUGAGGAGCGAAAGCGUGGGUAGCAAACAGGAUUAGAUACCCUUGUAGUC